rnacentral:rRNA from 1 species
AGUGAACGCUGGCGGUAGGCCUAACACAUGCAAGUCGAACGGCAGCACAGGAGAGCUUGCUCUCUGGGUGGCGAGUGGCGGACGGGUGAGGAAUACAUCGGAAUCUACUCUGUCGUGGGGGAUAACGUAGGGAAACUUACGCUAAUACCGCAUACGACCUACGGGGGAAAGCAGGGGACCUUCGGGCCUUGCCCGAUUGAAUGAGCCGAUGUCGGAUUAGCUAGUUGGCGGGGUAAAGGCCCACCAAGGCGACGAUCCGUAGCUGGUCUGAGAGGAUGAUCAGCCACACUGGAACUGAGACACGGUCCAGACUCCUACGGGAGGCAGCAGUGGGGAAUAUUGGACAAUGGGCGCAAGCCUGAUCCAGCCAUACCGCGUGGGUGAAGAAGGCCUUCGGGUUGUAAAGCCCUUUUGUUGGGAAAGAAAUCCAGCUGGCUAAUACCCGGUUGGGAUGACGGUACCCAAAGAAUAAGCACCGGCUAACUUCGUGCCAGCAGCCGCCGUAA